rnacentral:rRNA from 1 species
CCUACGUGUGGCAGCAGUGAGGAAUAUUGGUCAAUGGGCGGGAGCCUGAACCAGCCAAGCCGCGUGAGGGAAGAAGGUACAGCGUAUCGUCAACCUCUUUUGUCAGGGAACAAAGGCGGGGACUAGUCCCCGGAUGAGGGUACCUGCAGAAAAAGCAUCGGCUAACUCCGUGCAAGCCGCCGCGGUAAUACGGCGGAUGCGAGCGUUAUCCGGAUUUCUUGGGUUUAAUGGGUGCGCUGGCGGCCUGUUAAGUCAGCGGUAAGAGCCCGGGGCUCACCCCCGGCGAGCCGUUGAAACUGGCGGGCUGGAGUUGGAGAGAAGUACGCGGAAUGC